CAGGACCCAGAAGCCCAGAGAAACAACGGAGGUUCCUCUACUAAUACUUUGGUCGUGUCUUGCUUUUUGAAAGUGUUUCAACAAUGGGUAUGUAGAUGAGCACACGUAUGGCUGUGCUGGACCUUUGCCUCCUUUCCCUUCUCUUCUCGUUGCCUGGGAGGCUGGCCUUCAGUGGACCACACCUGCAGUGUAUCUUCUGUGCCCGCCAAUUCCAGAAGCAGUCUUGUUGGAUUAAAAGGCAUGAAUAGUUGGGUUCUUGAUCCACGUGUCAAACUGUGGAGCUUCAUUUUGAGGUGGGAUUGCUUCUUCUUGUCACCUGGUCUGCUGGCUGCCAUGUUGUAAGGAAGCCUCCACACACCCCCUCCAGGGCAACUUCCA